CUGUGAACAGUUUAUGAAUCCAGUUGGCUUGCUGUAAAUCUGGGAGGGAUUCUUUGGACAAAGUACCUCGAGUAUUUUGUACUCUUUUAGCUGAAAACAAGUCAUCUUUUUAAUUAUCACUUUGAAAAUAUGUCCACUGGCUAAAUUCAGCAAAAUUUUACAUGUGUGUUGGGAGGUGUUAAGGGCAGCCUGAAAACAACGCUCUUUGCUCUGAAGAGAAAACUUUCAUCAGAGUAAAGGGAAAUUAUUUGGGAUUGAUAUUGACCUGUUAGUUGUUUCUGGAGGGCAAAUAAAGUGGGGAAAAAUCACUCCUGCCCCACAGCCUGUGUUGGUGAGUAGGGGAUGGUCAUGUUUAGCUCACUGAACAGAAAAGAGAAACUACAGAACAGGGAGUGCCUUUUUCUCUCUGCUGCUUUUGCAGGGGAGCUCGGUGGCUCACAUGAGGUCUGAAAAUCUCGGUCAUCACGCCCGCUCUCUUCCCUGUGCCUCCAGGAAAUAUUCUUCCUGCUGCACAGACUUGGAAAGGGUGGCCAUCCCUGCCUUCUGAGCCACAUUUAUGACAAACUUUCAGGAAGAUAAUAUUUCACACGUAAAUAUGUGAGCGUUGGUUGUUAACACUUUCUGUAUUACCAGAAAAAGGUAAGAGUCCUCAUUGCACUGCAGCUUUUGAGUGUUCUUCUGUAUUUUUCAGCACCCUGAGGUGUCCAGUUCUGCCUGCCCUCUAGGAGGGACAAGGAUGUGAGCCCUGUGUGCAGCUGAUCUCACCUGGGCUUGACACGGUCAUGAACCCCACGGAAGAUAAAGAUGCAGAGGCUUCUUUCAGACAGCAGGCAGAAAACCUGGCUUUAAAAGAGGAGCUCAGGCAGGAAGCAGCAAUGUUCCAGGAGGAUUUCUGAGUCAAGCAGGAGAGCAACUGGCUUCUUGAUGUGUAAAUUUCAAAGAUCCCUAAAACCCUUGGCUGCACAGCCAG
rnacentral:lncRNA from 1 species